rnacentral:rRNA from 1 species
UACAGAGGUCCCAAGCGUUGUCCGGAUUUACUGGGCGUAAAGGGUGCGUAGGUGGCGGGGUAAGUCUGGUGUGAAAGCUCCGAGCUCAACUCGGAAAAGCAUUGGAAACUAUCCCGCUGGAGGGUCGGAGGGGAGACUGGAAUUCUCGGUGUAGCAGUGAAGUGCGUAGAUAUCGAGAGGAACACCAGUGGCGAAGGCGAGUCUCUGGACGACUCCUGACACUGAGGCACGAAAGCUAGGGGAGCAAACAGG